CCUACGGGAGGCAGCAGUAAGGAAUAUUGGACAAUGCUCGCAAGAGUGAUCCAGCCAUGCCGCGUGCAGGAAGAAUGCCCUAUGGGUAGUAAACUGCUUUUGAACUAGAGAAAACCCCAGUACGUGUACUGGGCUGAUAGUAUAGUUAGAAUAAGCAUCGGCUAACUUCGUGCCAGCAGCCGCGGUAAGACGAAGGAUGCAAGCGUUAUCCGGAUUCAUUGGGUUUAAAGGGAGCGUAGGUGGACUGAUAAGUCAGUGGUGAAAUCUCCGAGCUUAACUCGGAAAUUGCCAUUGAUACUGUUGGUCUUGAGUACAGUUGCUGUGGGCGGAAUAUGACAUGUAGUGGUGAAAUACAUAGAGAUGUCAUAGAACACCGAUUGCGAAGGCAGCUCACAAAGCUGUAACUGACACUGAGGCUCGAAAGUGCGGGGAUCAAACAGGAUUAGAUACCCUGGUAGUCCGCACCGUAACGAUGAUUACUCGCUGCUAGGGGGCAACCUUUAGUGGCUUAGNGAAGNGANAGUANCACGNGGAGUACGCGCGACGAGACGACGAAGAAGUUAGAGNGNGAGGACGNGCGACGGCGACGACGAGGGAGGAGG
rnacentral:rRNA from 1 species